ensembl:lncRNA
GGGAUGGAGGAGACAGGGCUGAGCAGGGCUGAGGGAAAAGUAGCUUGUGUGAGGAGGUGGCUCACAUGUCCAUGCUCCAACUCAUGUAUCACAGUCUUGGGCCCAAUAAAGACAGUACUGUGAGAUAUAGAGGGGCCCCCCAAAGCUGACAGCUGGGGCCAUCUGGUAUCUGUCUGGGGGUACCUCUAAAGGACGGGGCUGAAUGGAGACUCCUGCAGGAGACUUGUAACCGAGCACGGCCAAGAGCAGACGUCAGCACAGCUGUACCUGUGAGCUAUUCCUCUGCACCCUGUUACCAGGCAACAAGUCCUGGUCAGCCAUUUGCAAUGGGCUCCUCCCCCCAAGGAAGCAACUGUCAGUGUGUGACCGUUAGUGGGGACAUUCAGGAAAGGUCCGUGGAGCAGGGAUCGUCAGGUGGACAGUGAGUGAUUGUGUACAGUUGAGAGAGCUGGACUGUAAAGAAGGAAGAAUGCCAAGGAAUGGAUACCUUCUAACUGAGGUGCUGGAGAAGACUCGUGAAAGCCCCUUGGACAGCAAGGAGGUCAAACCAGUGAAUCUUAAAGGAGAUCAACCCUGAAUUUUCACUGAAAGGACUGAUACUGAAGCUAAAGCUCAAGCUCCAAUAUUUUGGUCAUCUGAUGAGAACAGACAACUCAUUGGAAAAGUCCCUGAUGCUGGGAAAGAUUGAGGGCAGCAGGAGAAGAGGACAUGAGAGGAUGAGAUGGCAAGACAGCAUCACCGAUGCAAUGGACGUGGGCAACUUGGGCAAACUCUGGGAGAUAGUGAGGGACAGGGAAGCCUGGGCUGCUGCAGUCCAUGGGGGUCACAAAGAGAUGGAUGACUGGGCGACUGAACAACAACAGCAGCAAAUAUUUAUUUAGCAGCUAAGAGGUGUUAGGCACUAGUCAUUUGGGAUCUAGAGUGAGACAUUUUAAUAGCAUAAUGAAGGGUGGCUUACCUAAUAAAGUUACCUUGAGCAGGACUCAGAAGAAAGUAAAUGAAUAAGCCAAGCCUUGGGGGUGAACUCGGUAGGCAGAGAAGAUGCCUAAAGCAAAGGCCCCCCUCUGUGGACUGUGCCUGCCAGGAACAGUGAUGAAGUCAAGGAAGUGGACAUAAAGUGAGGUGUUAGGUGGUGAAUUUGCAGGAGUCAACAAGAGCACGCAUGGCCUGACCUAACUUACUGUGUGUGUGUUUAGAUGUUUAAUCAGAAAGGGGGUAGGAAAAGUAGCAAGGUGUACAUCUGUGUGUGUUCUUAUUCUUGCCUACUAACACUGCUAAAUUCUUCAUGUGAUUCUUGGACUUCUCUGAUAGCUCAGUUGGUAAAGAAUCCACCAGCAAUGCAGGAGACCCCAGUUGGAUUCCUGGGUUGGGAAGAUCUGCUAGAGAAGGGAUAGGCUACCCACCCCUGUAUUCUUGGACUUCUCUUGUGGCUCAUGUGGUAAAGAAUCCGCCUGCAAUGUGGGAUACCUGCGUUCAAUCCCUGGGUUGGGAACAUCCCAUGGAGAAGGGCAAGGCUACCCACUCCUUUAUUCUGGCCUAAAGAAUUCCAUGGUCUGUAUAGUCCAUGGGGUGACAAAGAGUCUGACAUGACUGAGCGACUUUCACUUUCACUUUUGAUUUAAUUAAAGAACUCUCUGUGUUAGACAUUUUAUUUAUAUUUUACAUGGGAAGAUAUGGUCUUCAGAUUCUGUUUUUUUCUGCUUCCUAAACACAUCCUCUUACUUACUAGCUCCUAAAACAGUCUUUCUAGGAUCCCAGGGAGGCCAAUGAGAAGAGCUAAAGAAUGCCUUCAAGGCAGCGUGGUAUAGACAGGGUGUGGAAAUUGGCCCCAGAUUUAUCUGGGUUUGAAUCCCAGUGUCGCUACUAGUUACCUAAAUUGACACUUAUUCACAGAGCUCUACAAAUAUUUCAGAUGAUCAUUGGUUUCAUUGUCUAUGAAAUGAGUGUAGUAAUUUCAUGCAUGGAAAGAUGGGCUUCCCAGAUGGUACAGAGGUAAAGAGGCGGCCUUUCAAUGUAGAAGAGGCAAGAGACUCAAGUUAGUCCCUGGGCUAGGAAGAUCCCCUGGAGAAGGAAAUAACUGCCCACUCCAGUAUUCUUGCUGGAGAAAUCCAUGGACAGAGGAGCCUUGUGGGCUACACUCCAUGGGACUGCAAAGAGGUGGACCCUAUGCGCACACACUCAAUUAAAAAGGGAGCUAGCCUAAAAUUGCCAGAUGUGGAUAAUAUCAAUUCCUUUCUUCUCCCUACCUUUAACUAGAGAUAAUGGGGAUCAGGCGAUUUGAUCAACCUGCUUUGGGAAAUUGAUGGAGGAAAAAAAGCAUGUGUGGGACUGCUCUGUGAGGUAAAGCCCCCUUGCUGGAGGAGAGUUGAGGUGUAUGGUCUGAUCCUUUAUAGAGUUUGUGAUUCAAGGACUGAAAAGAACUAAUGUAAGGGGAGAUUUGAUUCAGAAUUGGUGGAGGUGGGGUGGGUGGUCACAUUCUGAAGGUUGAACUAGCAGAUGUGAAAUGGGAAGUGAAAGAAAGUAAGUGAGGGGUUAAUCAUGAUUAUCAGCUUUUUGUCAAGAAAAACUGUAAGGAGUCUAUGGAGCUAUGAAGUGAGGCAGAUUGCAGCAGAGAAAGGUCUCUUCUCUUGAGUUGAUGGCACACUUGAAUAUGACUCACACGUUCCAGGCAGAAGAUUUGGGAGCCUCAACAAAUUGGCAUCUAAAUAGGAAACCAAAAUGCAUGAAUUGCUUAUAGAACAAGAUGAAGUCAUUUUCAUUUUCUAUUUACUUACAUUGUAAUACUGUAAGAAUUUCUAAGGGUGUUAUUCAUUUCAAAAUUUUUCAUUUCAAGAAAAACAAUA